CGCCGGCUGCCAUGCUUCAGCAAGUGUGGCAUCUGGCGCAGAAGCAACCGGCCCCUAUGCCCCAGCAGCCUCACGACGUGUGGUAUCCAGCUAAAAUGGUCCAGAAGCAACAAGUCGCUGCACUGACCGCCAUGCCGCAGGCACAACAGAAAGUGUGGCAUCCAGUUCAAAUGCCUCAGCAGCAGAAGCAACCAGCUACUGAACCUCAGCAGCAAAUUGAACUGACCGCCAUGCUUCAGACACAUCAGCAAGUGUGGCAUCCAGCUCAAUUUCCCCAGCAGCAGAAGCAACCGGCCUCCAUGCCUCUUCCGCAGGAGAAACCGACCGCCAUACCCAAGCAAGUGUGGUAUCCAGCUCAAAUGUCCCAGCAGCAACUGGCCUCCAUGCCUCUACCGCAGAAGCAACUGACCCCCGUGCCUCAGCAAUUAUGGCAUGUAGCUCAAAUGCCCCAGAAGCAACUUGCCCCAAUGUCUCAGCAGAAGCACUACGAAAGCACUGAAGAUGGUGUCUCUGGUAGCUCUCAGGCCAGCAUUGUUGAACAGUUGGGUGUCAUCCCAAUCUAUUCCUACAGUUCCAAAUCGCACUACGAGAAGGGCAGAACUGUCUUCUCCCAAACCCGCUACACUCCUAGGGAGGCUAUGCCUGUUGACAGUGGAAAUGCUCCCAAGGACAGUUAUGUUGGCAUUGGUGCACCAAGCAUGCAUCCACCACUAGUGAAGGAUUCUGCAAGGGAAAUGUAACGGAGUCAUCCUCUAGAAGCUCUACUGGAAGUUGCUGGUGCUCAAGCGUGAUGGAAUCAAUAAACAAUUUUAUUUUCAAAA
rnacentral:lncRNA from 1 species